AAAUCUUAUUAGGUUAAGUUUGUAACGUGACUGAUGCAGGGAAGUGGAGGUCAGCGCAUGGACUCCAAAUAUUUCAUCGAACCAUUACCAAGUGAAUCACAAAAUUAGUUUACAACUCUACAAUGUAAAGAAGAAACAGAAGGUAUAGGCAUGAUCUGAAAAAACUGUCCUAAACAAAAUUUGGCGCUCUUUUUGGAGUUCAUGGACAACCUGAUUUAGGAAAUUAGCGUGUAUGUAUCCAUGUUUACUCUGAUUUAGUGUUGUCUUUUAUCUAUUUUCAGUUAAAUAUAGUCUUGAAAUUAAUACAAACCAUCAAAUUCUGAUUUAUUAGUAUUUUUGUUGUAAAAAAAUGAUUAAAACUCUAAAUUUAAAUCAUUAAAUUGAGACAAAAAUGUAGAUAACGAACAACUGAACAGACCACUUGUAAAAUAUCAACAUUAAAGCAGUUUUAAUACCAUUUUCCAGCCGAUAAAUGCUCCUGAAUGCCUCCCAGUUAUCCCACAGUCAUCCCAGUCUGACUACCAGACUGCGAACCCCCACCACGGCUCAUUACACAUGCGCAGAAGCAAACGCUGCGUAAAUAUUUAUGUAUAGGUUAACUCUCAUUGGUUAAGUACAUACGAGCCCCCGCGAGCCCAUCCUAUGGUGGCUCCGCCCACCGCUCGCCACUCACGUGGACCCUCAUGCUGGCGGUGAGGGCACGGGGACGGGAGCGCGCGUCAAUAUAUGGUUGACGACAUGAGAAGAAAGAGGAGCUGAUAACGGUAAUAAGUGCGGAAUUAAGUGCAUUUAACGACGUUUAGUGGCUUAAAAACGCACGUAAAUUAAAUUAUAAAGACCUUUAGCUGUAAUGUCACAAUUAUAGACGGUACAGCUCGUGUUUUAUCUUACAUAAGUCGGUUGAAAUAGGUAAAAUUAGCUAUAUUUUUCACUUUUUCACAAUGCUACAGCUUGCACAGGGAUUCACAAGGUCACAAUUACCCUGCAAGUACAGCAGCUGUGUGUCUGUUGGAUGUUUUUAGUAAUGUUGCAGCUUUAUACACCGUGUUCCAAAUUAUUAUGCAAAUGAUAUUAUUCUCAGAUUUUCUAAACAGUCAACGCAAACGACAGUCAGCAUAAUUUUCAAGUCAUUAACCAUUAGAGUUUAAUUUAAAUGUUAUUGAACAAACCUCCCAAUGAAAAACAAAAAACUUAAAAUGAACUGUUCCAAAUUAUAAUGCACAACUGAGAACUGAAAAUGGUCAUUCGGAGGUCAUAUUGACUGAAAUCAAAAGCUAUUUUAAUCAAAAACAUCUUAACAAGUCAAGUUACAUUUUAACAUAGGACCCCUUAUUUGAUAGCAGCUUCAAAUGUCUUGCAUCCAUCCAACUUGUGAGUUUUUGGAGAGUUUCUGCUUGGAUUUGUUUGCAGGAUGUCAGAAUAGCCUGUUGGUUACAUGUGCGUUCUUGCUGAUGUUAAGCACUGCACGCAACAUCCUGGUGUAGCACCCAUCUAGGGAUUUCUCCAGGGUUGGCUUCAGGGUCCAGCAUUCACUGCCACAGAGGAGAACGGACUCUACUGUCGCGUAGAGUUUGAUUUGGCGGGGGAGGUUGGAGUUCUCCAUGCGAGUGCCUUCCUCACUUUUAGAUCUUGUUCAGUUGAGUCGACCCAUGAGCCCAGGCCAACCAGCUCUCUCCCCAUGAUUCCGUCCCAAAACAUGACUCCACCACCUCCUUGCUGACGUCGCAGCCUUGUUGGGACAUGGUGGCCAUCCACUACUCCCUCCAUCUGGACCGUCUAGGGUUGCACGGCACUCAUCAGUGAACAAAACUGUUUGAAAGUUAGUCUUCAUGUGUUUCUGGGCUCACUUGUGAGCAUUGGUUAGGGGUGGCUGAAUAGAAGGUUUGUGCGCAACUGCAAGCCUCUGGAGGAUCCUACACCUCAAGUUCCGUGGGACUCCUGGGGCACCAGCAGCUUCAAAUAUCUAUUUGCUGCUUUGUAAUGACAUUUUAGCAGCUGUUCUCUGAAUCAGCCACAAAUCUCUUAACAGUAUGAAGAUCACACUUAUGUUUCGUGAAAUAUCAGAGGUUUUCAUACCUUGUUCAAGGCAUUCAACUAUUUCACGCAUUUCUUUCCCAUAUUGCUUGAAAACGUUGGUCUGCUUAAUAUUGUGGAACGCCCUUCUUGUUUUUCCCUUAACUGAGCUCACCUGGCAAACUAAUUAUCACAGGUGAAUGAGAUUGAUUUCAGUGAUUCAAAGAGCCCUGAGACACAAUACCAUCCAUGAGUUUAUUGACACUUAAAUACAAUUUGCGUAAUAAUUUGGAACGCAAUCUACAUUUCCUCCAGAAGCUUCAUUAUGAGUUUUCAGAUGAAAACAAACCUCACAAAGAGGUAGAAAUGUCGUAACUUUGCUCUAGUCCAUGCAGGGUCAUCUCUUUUACUCAGCUGUUAUAUUUAAAUUGUGACCUCAGACGGAUAAAGUGCUUAAGUUUGGCGACACAAUCUCAUUAGUGAUGUUCUGUGAUCUAAUGUACAUCUAUAUCAGGCAUCGACCUGUCCUGUCCCGGCCUGACCCUGCCCACUUGGCUGUCCUUCCUCAGGUCAGUCUAAUCCAACAUCCUGACCUCAGUACGGCCGUCCAGUCAUCUCCACGGAUCAGACGCUGCAGCUCCUGGAUCCAGAUGGCACUUUCGUAAAUCCCAUUUCAUUGACAAAAGGUGUUUUCCUCACCGCUGCGGGAACAGGAUGUUCUCUGAGGCUGAGGGAUCACACGCGGAUUAACCUCGGCUAUUUGUGCUGCUGCCCGUGUUUGGACGUACAAACAUAGCAGGUAAUUAUUCGCAUUAUGUGCUGCAAUCCUUUAAAUACUUCCUAAAGUACUUUUUAAAAAUCUAUCUGCACAACUUUAAUAAAUAAAUAGUUAAGUUGUUGUUUUGCACCCAAAAUGUAGCUGAAAAUGCACAGAUGAAUAAUCUUGAUUCUGGCCUGCUGUUUCCAGACACACAAAGUCCACUCUGCCCCAAAAUCGACCCCAAAAAAUCCUCUUUACGCCACCUUUUUUUGGGCCACCCUCUGAGCUCUUCCUUAUUGCUGAGAAAGCAGGUGGCCUGCUGGUUAAACCCCGAGCAUCCAGACUGUCAGGGAGGCCACACUCUGCGGGGAUUAAACCAUGUCCGAACAGGGUGUAAGAGACACACUUCAUGUUUGUACACAUUCAGAAAGAAAAAGCAGAAUCAAACAUACGGCAGAACUAAAAACAGAUUAGAGAUUAGGGGAAAUGCAUUUGAGUCUGCGCUUAGACGUUCAUUUGAGGCUGGCUUGAGACAGAAACGAAUACUUUUACCACAAUGUCAACAGGCGGAAGUGAAAUAUGUCUCCUGUCACAUGUGUACCCACACAAACGAACCUGCUCUGAUGUGCAGUUAAUUGGAUGAAGGGUCUAUACGGAGAUCGUCUAUAUGUGAGAGGCGGUGUGAACUGCAUCUCCAUAUAAAUAGAGCCCAGUGAACGCAAGAGCUCCUUCACAUGCUCCGAGCUAAGACAUAUAAAUAAGGUUUAUUUACAUCGCAGAAACACACACACAACAUGUCAUCGCACGCCGAAUAAGAUACAGCACACAGGCUAGAAAAAAACUCUGCGUGCAUGUGAUGUUUACGAGGAGAGAGGACAUAGAGACAGCAAACAGAGUCUGUGGAGAGAGGUUGGAAAUAAGAGACAAGACAGGAAGCUCGCUCAGGCUAGGACUCAUCCUGACUGGAUUAGGUUGUACGCUCUACCUCCCCUCUACCCUCCCCUCUCAGACCUUAUCUUUUCCAGCAACAUCUUAAACCUGGCGAAACACUUGGAUUCCCUGCAAAACCUCAGAAUAUAUAUCCACUUUCCCCCUUGAAAACAAAGCAUGCAGACCUUUCUUUACUCUCUUUGUGUCUGCAACAUGAUUUAUUUAUUAAAUCCAGGCAGGAAAACGUCCUCAAAAAUCUCAAACUCUGACGUCUGAGAGGUUGCUCUGAGUUUUUACUGCAUACAUCUACACUCUUCGUUUCUCUCCGUCUCUGCGUUCUUGUCCUCGCUUGUCCUCGGCCCAAAGUCACAUUUCUCUAAGGCACGUGCCCCCGCCUCAGGGUGAGAGACGUCUGAUAUUUCAAAACAAACUGCAACUACAGAAGCACGUACAGAGGGAGACACGAAGCAGACGCCCCACUGGGGAGAGAAGGGGAUUAUGGGGGAUUACACCCCCCCUCUCUCUUGUCCUCCACUUUUCCUCCCAUCAGCACCUUCUCUCACUUUUGAAGAGAUGUCAAAAGAGGCGAAGUUUUGACACUUAAAUCUGACCCCUUGUUUAAAAAGUGAAGUGAUCUCGUUCUCAGAGGGGGAUCAUUGCUUUAUCUCACACAGGAUUUUGACACAGAAAUAACCGCGUACCUCAUCGGUAAUGACUCUCUUCACUCAGCUGUGCGUCUGAAGAAUUCCUGUGUCACGUCAAUCUGGUCCGACCGGUCCGUGAAUGCCUGAGUCAUUAUUUUUGCGGCAGUGUCAAUGUUAAAAGAGCAGUUUCUGUUUGUGUUUGGUAUCUGAUUGAGGAUUAACAAAGCAAAGGCAGAUAAGAAGCAGCUGCGUCUUUGUUAAACUCACUUUAAUAAGAGCAAACUUUAAUAUAAUAUCAUGAGUGCGACUGUAAAUGAAACUUAAAUUCUCCUUAAGUGCUCUUCUCUCUAAUCCUUUAUUUGUUUUGGCUGACAAAUGCUGAAUUUGUGUCUGUCUGUGUCUGUGUGUGUCCUUUAAAUGCAGCCAGACAGUCAUUACACCAUUGUUGAACUCACACAGCAGGAGAGACAACAACAGCGCCACGUCUACGUAAAGAGCUUUCCUCCUAAUCAGGUUGUUUAUGGCACAGACCGUUCCAGUUUAUUAAAGGGACGCUUGAAGGACUUUUAAGUGUCUCACUGUGAAGUGCAAAUGAAUGUCAUGUGUUCGCAGAGAGAGAGAGAGACACAAAAUUUAAUAUUCUGCAGAGACAUAAUAAAAGACACAACGCCUCGUUUACAUCACUGCUGUGUCUCUGACCUACAUCGCACUAUGUCAUCAAAUGCGCCGCAAAACCAAACCCCGAGUCUGUUUUCAGUCUGUGAAAGACAUCAAAGUCUGGUGUCAUGACCAGCAGGUCCAUUUAGUGACAUUUACAGCGCUUUGUUUUUGGACAUGUUAUUGUGAUUUGCCAACAAAGGGAAGUGACGUGACAUGAAGACGAUGAGACAAAAACACAACAAUCCUCUAGUGUGAGCUGUGAAUGUGAGCUUGUUUGGCUAACCAGCGUUGCCCACUUAUCUGUAAUGUAAGUUGCAUGUGGCUGUCCUAGAGGUCGCUAGAUGAUGUCAUAGCCUAGUUUGUCUAGUUGCACAUUUGCACGUAAUAGUGAUUUACCUUCGACAUGUAAAAUUUGACAUCACUGCAGGUUAUGAUGCACAUUUCGGAUUUUUUGUUAAAUCCGAUCUUUUUGUGCGGUCGUCGACAUUACAACAACGAAUGCGGCAUCUCAUGUGGUAGGGGAAAAGUCCCGCCUCCUUCGCCUUUGAUUGGCUAGAAAAGCUAGAAACGUCAUCACAUGCUCAAGCCAAACAAGGGCUGUCGGCUCUGUACAUCGAACAGAACAUUAUCACACUUCUGAAUUUCCUAACCCUAACCAGACAGACGAUGACAUUUCACAGCCAUAAGGAAUAACCAAUCGGAGCCCAGCACUUCUAGCCAAUCAGAGGCGAAGGAGGGUGUGACCUUCACCUACCAUUCUACAAACAAAAAAAAAAUUUGCGUCCAGGGCAGCACCUGCUGCUCGUUGAGAAAAGAAAGAUCGAUACGUGCUUUCACAUCAGUCUCCAAACUCCAGGAAAAGGGGCUAGAUUUGUAGCGUUUUAAAAAAAAAAGUUGCGAGGGGCCCUGAAAAGUCGCUAAGUUGUGGCUAACUAGCUUAAUAAGGUAGUAAACAUGGAUGUUGUCUCAGUGACGUCACCCGUUGGUUCCCAAAGUGGUGUUACCAAGUCCAAAGAUGGAGGUCGACAACUCUUCUUGGACACCUUGGUGCAGCUUUGCUUGACCAGAUCCUGUACUGUACAAGGUCAAGAGUGUAUGCAAUAGUCAGGUUACACAUCAGGCUGCUGGAUUAUACGGCAAGCGAGUUCAGGCGGCCUGAUGCGCUUGUUUACUGUAUUAUUAUGAAUUUGAAUAUUACCCUUUUCUUCAGAGCAAGGAGUGUUAAUUUUGUUCCUGUACGUGUAAACAAAAAGGGAGUUUUCUUCUGAUGCCUAACUCUUAAAAGAAGUUGCAAGGAAAUAGUCAAUGUCUAUAUUAUCGGUCUUGUUUGCUUUUGGGCCGUGCCAUCAAUUUACAGUCUGUUUUAUAGCCAGUCAAAAAUCCCUCACAGGAGCUUUAGACUUCUCCUGAUCAGCUAGUUACAGCAGCAGAAAGUUUUGCAAAGAAGUGAAGAAAAGCCUCAAAGUCAAUCAAAAUCCCAUCUCAAGCCUCAGUUAUAAAUGUAAACUCCCAGGAUUCAGCGCGGAGAUAAUUGUAGCGUCAGAAGUGCACGUCGACUGCCUCACAAAGCGAAGAGGAGACAGCCUGUCCUCAGACAAUGUGCUGAUCUCAACAAUCAGAGGCACUGUGACAAUGCCAGCGUGAGCAUUUAAUACGUCCUUCCUCUGCCUGCACACGGACAAAUCCUCUAAGCGCUCGCACUUCAGAUCGCAGGAAGGAGAAGUCUCGCCCUUGUGUGACAGUUAUGUGACCCAAAACCGCUGCGACCUCAAAAACAGCGCCAGAGGAGAAUGAGUCAAAAAGUAACACAGGUCAAAUCAAUCCGUUGUUUUCUCCUACAUUAUUAAUAUCAUGUGAGACGGGGAUCUAGACUUUUCCUUUUAUGCUAAUUAAACACAGCGGGUGUGUUUGAGCAGGUGCGCGCCAAAUGGCAAAGAGCCCCCGAGGCCUCUUAGUGAAGAAGGAGCAGAGAUCUGGUAAAAGCUGCUCAAACCUGACCCAGGAUCAGCCCAGGUGUCGGAUGCUUUGAGUAAAUAAGCAACUAAAGGUUUCAUGUGGUUGACAGCUGCUUGUGUACUCUUCACAGAAACAUACAAAUCCUGCUUUUUGUUUGCAGGAGCUGAAAGAGGGCGUGCUCCGUGUGCGGAUAGCUUCACACAGACGAGUUAAACAAACGCUGACUUUCCACCUAGACAUAUUUACACUCUUCCAGCUUUCUUUCUUUGCAUCUUCUUUUCCUGCAGACGAACUUCACUCUGAGUCUGUUUUUGCUCUUUCUCCUAUAAGUCGACCUCUGCGUAAUCUCCACGUCCAUAAAACCUCAGUCGGCUCGUGUCUUGAACAUACUGUUCAGCCACACACACGCACGCACAGUCUGAGGUCAGCCUCUAUCACUGCUGUGUUUCCUGUUUGCUUCCUAUUUCUGACACAGGAGGAGAGAUCAGCAUCUUCUCUUUCCUCCAUGGUGCCGUCCUUCAGUCCUCGCCUCGCUCUUAUUUCCACGUCUUAUCAACUCUGGAGAAAGAACAGGUUGAAGACAUGCAAUUUCCUCCUUUUUGUGCACAAAUCAUAUCUUAAUUCUGAUUGUUGAUGCAUAUUUUACCUUCAUCAUCAUCCAACUGUUUGCACUUUAACUCCCUUUAGCAGUUACAGUAAAGUCUAUUUUCAUUUAUUUGUUUUAAUCAGUUGAAUUUCAUCUUAAAAACAUGAAAAACAUGAAAAAGGUAGUGCAAAUCGUACCUCACAAAAACACUGAGGCAAGUUCUUCUUUAAACAAACCUCAGCUAUUGUUGCUGCCAAAGUAGGUUUCAGAAGUCCCGCCCCUUCUCAGUUUUGAUUAAUUGGUAUUAAGGAUCUGAUACUAGUAAGUGCUUCACUUUCAAACUUCUAUAAAUCAGAUGACAGACAACCUAACAACAUAAUAAACUUCUGAGGGAGAACCUUUUUGGACUGCAUUGGUGUUUGAAAAAAUAUCUGCUGCCAGCCCAAGAAAACACUGUCAGUGGACACAGGCCCUAACCCGUCAUAUUGACUUUUAGACUUAUCUCGCAUCACUAGAUUUUGUUUGAUUAUCUAAAAAUAGAUAUUUAUCAGAAAAUUUUUAAAAAUAUGAUUUAAAAGCAAUAGUUUCGAGUGACAAGUGGAUCAGUGGACACAGGCCCUUAUCCAUCACAUGAUAUUUUAGGCCUAUUUUUCAUUCUUAUCAGAUUUUUUGAUGAUCUUAAACUGAUACAUCAUAACACAAUCAAUUAAUCAAGAUCCCAUGGUUGUGGUGUAAAGUAGCCAGUGGAUCAGUGGACACAGGCCCUUAUACUUCACCUUACCUUUUAAGCUUAUUUUGAAUGACGAGACCAUUUUUGAUUAUUAUAAAAUAGAUAUUUAAUUGUCACAAGAUUAAAAAAAUAUAAUUUAAUAAUAAUGGUUUAGAUUUUUGAUAAUCUUAACCCUAUGCAACAUAACAUAAUCAAUGGAUCAAGAUUCCAUGUUUGUGGUGUAAAGUAGCCAGUGGAUAUGUGGACACAGGCCCUUAUACUUCCCUUUAACUUUAAGGCUCAUUUUGCAUUUCUAGAUUUUUUUUGGAUUAUCUAAAAAUAGAUAUUUAAUUAUCACAGAACUAAAAAAAGAUGAUUCAAAAGUAACGGUUUCAAGUGACAAGUGGAUCGAUGGACACAGGCCCUAAUCCUGCACAUGACAUUUCAGGCCUUAUUUGUAUUCUAAUGAGAUUAUUCGAUUAUCUUAAACUGAUACAAAAUAACAUAAUAAAUGGAUCAAGAUUCCAUGGUUGUGGUGUAAAGUAGCCUGUGGAUCAGUGGACACAGGCCCUUAUACUUCACAUUACCUUUUAAGCUUAUGUUGCAUUCUUACUACAUUUUGUGAUUAUCUUAUACUGAUUGAUCAUCUCGUGAUUCUAUGGUAGUGGUUUAUAGAAGUGGUUGUAUCAGUGGACACAGGCCCUAACCCUUCACAUUAACUUUUUUGCUUAUUUUGCAUUAAAUUUUGGGUCAAGCUGUUAUAUCGUCCCUCUGCUUCUCCUACCUGUACGGGUAACACACUGGCUGCCCUCUCAAGGCAAUGGUAUUUUAACAUUAAAUGUAAAAAAAAGGUGAAUUUGCUCCCUACAAAGCGCACUCAUCUAACACUUAAUCUAUCAGAUGCCCCCUGAUAUUUACAUGUUUAUGUAAUCUAGACUUAAAUACAUCCUCAGGUACUUUAUCAGACUUGUUGACUGACUAAAAGCAGAUAAUCUAAGAGCACACUUGAAACACUCUUGCAUCAUGGCCCUGACUUUACUGAGAUAGGACUCCUAAAAUUUGACGUGCUCCUUUAAAUUUCUCCUUCCUAAAAUGUGUGUGUUCCUGGCACGUUUGCAGACCUGCUCCGGGCUGCGCAGCGGCACGUGGAGGAACAUCAGCAGCAAGAAAAGGCAGGCGGAGGCGAGAAAGAGAAAGAAGCACAAACACAGCAGAGCAGAGAUCCUGCACAUACAUGGACAUACACCGGACAAUAGGCACAUUGAACUGAUCAGCAUUGCGACAUUUAGCAUUGAGGUGUGUGAAUUAGUCAUGUGAGACAACCAUUGUGCAUCAAAUUAUGUUUAUGCAACAAGAUGAAAGGUGACGUCAAUGAUUUGAAGCUGUUGAAGACAUAGCCAAUCAAAAAUGAGACUCCUGGUUGCCUGGUUGGAUAGAGCCCCUCCAGUUAAUAUUACUCUACAAUUGUUAAGAGUUUGGAAGACGCAGAUUUUGUGUAAUGAAUCAUUUUUUUUCCUGCCUUAAAGUCACAAAGUUGCAUGCUUGACAAUAAAAACAAGUUUAAGUAGCUCUCUAUUUAGCCAGAUAAAGUAAAAACAGAGACUUUCUGUUACUGUUUGCGCCUGUAUUAUCCCAAUUGACCUGACACUGCACCCUAUAAUGACAUCAAUGAUAAAAAUAUGGUAUAUAUGAUAUAUAUGGUAUAUAUAUAUAUAUAUAUAUAUAUAUAUAUAUAUAUAUAUAUAUAUAUAUAUAUAUAUUUAAAUUAAUUAAUUUAUUUAUUUUUCAUAUAUAAAAAGGGCAUCUAGAAGAAGUUUUAUGAAACAUAUUGAGCUGAAAAUCUGAAGUUGACAAACAAACAAACAAACAGAAAUAAUUAUAGUAAGGUUUGUUUAUUAAAAGGGCAGCUUACAACCAAUAUUUCCACUGGAAGAGCAUCCGGUGGCCUCAUUUUCUUUUACAUCUUCUCAUUUUAUAAAGCAUCAAGAGGCGCUUUUAUCAAUAUAUUUCUUAUUUUGAGAUUGAACCUGAGAGAGUAGGAUGCAAAGGGCACAAGCUGAUGUACUGGUAGGACAUCCAGAGCGCAUUGGUUUAUAAACUGGAAAAGGCAUCCAGAGGAUCCAUUUUCAUACAUUAAAAGGGCAUCUAGAAGAAUUUUUAUGAAACAGAGGAGCAUCCAGAAGGUACAGUGAAGCAUGCAGAGUGGAAUUAUGUCCAAUACUGGAAGGGCAUCCAGAGUGUACUUUGUAAUUAUUGAACGAGCAUCUGGAAAGCACAUUUUGUAUACUGGAAGGCCAACCAGGGGGCACUUAUUUUCUGGACAGAUAUUCACAGGGAACUUUCUGAAAAGAAUAUUUCCUUUACUGGAAAAGCAUCCGAGCCGCACCUUUUAUAUACUGGAGGGGCAUCAAGAGGACAUCCAGAGGGAACCUUUUUUCCUUGAAAUGGCCUCCAGAUGGAAUAAUUGAUCAUAUUUUAUAUUUAGAAAUAAAACUAAAACCAGUGCAUGUCAGUCAUUUAACUUUGUUGCUUUGUGUUUAAAUGAAACAUCAUGUUAGCGAUAUCAUACACAACAGAGAGGUCUCAAGGUACUCAAUGUUAACAGAGUUGAAAUUCAAAGAAAAAGAAAUUACAGGAGCUUAAUAAUGGCGUCCGCUCAUCUUGUCCUCGUCUCCCCAACUGACCACAGCAGAGGCGCCACUCAGUUACGUCAUUAGGAUAUUGAUAUCUUUUUCAUAUAUCACUGUCCUUUGUGGACUCUGGACUUUAAAAUUCACCUAGAACUGGGCAAGGUAAGACUUGAACCCACGAUGUCAGGAGUUCCAGUCAGUCUCCUUAUCCACUGAGCCAUGUGGACACACAAGACAAUCGUGUUUUUUUUCCACUUAAAUCUGUCUCUGUCUGUUGAAAAACCUUCACUCUUUUGUUUCCAUUGUUGAUUUUAUUUUGCCAGUUAACCUCAGUCGCCACUAUAAACCUCCACUUUUCAAAAAUAGACUUUAAAAAUAUGUUUUGUCUCCUUGUGAAACUGAAUGACAGAAACUGCAACUCCUCUCCUGUUUAUCAGACUAAACCAGCCCCUGUUUGGCAGAAUAAAAGGCUUUUAUUUUGAAAGUAUCAGUGGAUCCUCUCAUUAUCAGCACAAAGAAAAAAGACAAAGGCAGACAUUCGGCACUUUUUUUCUCUUUUCACCAAGUAAUCAAUCAUCAGAUUAAGAGUGUACAGCACACAGAUUGAACAAAGAUCCAAUAUGCUGACUUGAUAUUUAGGUCAGUCCUCUCUGGGUAACACGGCGUAGUGAAUCCCCCCUUCCCACCUCCCCCUCCUCUCUUCUAGCUGAGGGCUUUUAGGCUUCGAGAAGUACAGGGUGUUCUAGCACAGUCUGUACAUAUACUAUACAUCCUAGUGGCAUGCGCUCUCUCACUCGCACAUACAUGCGCGGCAGCAGUAGAGUGUCCACCCAGGGAGACACGCAUUUCCAUUCUAUACAUUGACUCUUGAUAUUCCUCAGCGUGGUCAGACAGCAGUACACUGUGUCCUCAUGUGGACUCUGAUACCCGAACAGGUGCUGAGCCGCUUCAGUCGUCCCUUUAGGGGCACGUAAAGCCUGCAGCGUAUAGGAUGUGGUGUAAAGAUACUAUCAUUACGUCUUUUUUUAUCACGCUGUAUAGAAAAAAAUAACACAAUGUUUUGUGUGUCUCGAGGUUGGGAGGAAACCACAUUUGCCUCUCAGAACAAAAUGUUUCACCCUGCGGAGAAAUAGAUGUUCUGUUCUUUAUGCUAAAACAGCAUGUGUGCACUCAUAAGCUAAUUACACAGAACAAGACUGAUCAGGUUUUCUUAGUCCAGCAUCACAUUUACAGAGCAGAAUAUAUAAAGAUCUCUGAUAUAGAUAAAGACACUGAUGGGUCGUGUUUACAGGAUGUUUUAAGGGGAAAAAAUCAUAAUUUAUCAUAUCAAAAUAUAUGUAUUUACUGAUAUAUCUUGUUUGCACGGAAAACUUAAUCUUGUAGAAACAAGUUAUCAUCAUAUCUGCAAAAAUUAUCAACUUGUGGCACUAGGUAUAUAUCUUGUAGGAACAGCUUGUUAUCAUGUGUUGUCUUGCGAGAACUUGUAAUCAGCUUUUUGGCAUAUCAUAGAAUUUAGAUACCUAUAUUGUGCAAAACAGGAUCGCCACAAGAGAAUAACAUGUGCAUGUGAGACAACAGAGUAUUUUGUUCCAACAAGAUUUUUUCUUCUGUUUAGCGCUUUCAUGGGAACAUUAAAAAUCUUGUUGGAAAAAAUAAUGAUCUUGGAGAAGCAGCUUAUUUGUGGGCAUAAUAAAACUAUCUCGCAGAUUCAGCUCAUGUACAUGCUAUCUUGCGGGAACGAGGUAAUUAUCAUACUGGAAAGAUAAGAUCUUGCAAGCACAAGAUACUUACUGUAGAUUGUGCACACAAUAUAGUUCCUUGUUGUGACAAAAUGAUUUUAAAGUGCCUGCGGUUGAAUAUGUUGUGUGCAAGAUAUUUAAUCAUGUGCAAGAUUAUACCUUGGGCAUUCAAGAUAAGUUUGUUGUGCAAACAAGAUAAUUGACCUGUUUCCUCAAGAUAAUUAAACACAUUAAUAACAUCUUACCGGAACAAGUAACAAUCUUGUGCACACAAAAUACUGUUCUUACAGGAAAAUGUUAAAAUAUUUUGUACGCAAGAUAUUUAUCUUGCGCACACAAGAUUAUAACUAGAUCCCACGACUGAUUGACAAACUGCGCACAAGUUAAGACCAUGAUUGAACAAGGUGAGCUCAAGAUAUUCACUCGUAUGUGCAGGGUUAUAUCUUGCACACACAAGAUAAAUAUGAAGACACUUUACUUUGUUCUACAAGAUACUUGUGUGAACAACAUAAUUGUUUGGUGGGGGGAAAUCCAUUUUUGACAAACAGAAUUCUUGAAAUGUAUCUGAUUCGAUCUCCAGAUCAUGAAAUAACAUGUCUAUUAAAGCUUCAAUUAGCGCUUUUAUUGCUGACACAGCUUCAUGUCUUUAACACCCUCUUAAAAAGUCUCGUUCACACUGGCUGUCACUGCUGUACAUUGUCAUUUGUCAGUGUUGAUUGAAAGUCUCUAAAAGGAAAGUACAGCCUUGAAAACGCACUAAUCCUCCAUAAUAAUUCAUACCUGCUUUCUCUUUUUUAAAAGAUGUUCCCAAACAAGAUCUUAUUACUGUAUUUGUAACGUUAGAAAUGUGGGAACUGAAGCUUGGCACAGCUCACAGCACCUCAGACAGAUAAAUGUGCAUAAAGAAACACACACACACACACACACGAACUGUAGUGGGAGCUUUGAGAGACGGCGAACAAAAGCAGAGGAGGGGUCGGCGUAUCAGCUGUAGUCACGAAACAGCAGAGUGUGGGCACGACGUGUUCGAAACGGCGCUGCUUUUCAGGCACCCGUUUUGUGUCGCCGUGUGCAGUUUGUCACUUUUACAAUCCCAAGUGUCAAAGCUAACGUGACAUUAGCCGCUGUCAUGGCUUAGAAAGACGUCCCAAAAACAAAGACAAAGACAGCGAGGCUUCUAAUGGAACUUGUUCUCGGCGGAUUAUCCCCAGAGGGAGUCUCUUAUUAGACGCCGAGUGAUUGACACGCUGGAAUGAAACACAUCAGCAUGUUUUAAAUAACAAAACUGAAAGUGCGAUGAAGCCGAAUUGAGCUUCGUUUUCAGGAAUACUCUGUAAACGAACCAAACGUUUCGUGUUGAUGUUCUCUUUAAAAACACACACACACACAGAGCGGCAGGAAAAAGGGCAAACAUUGGCGUCUGAACACCCACACACACACCUGGUGUACGGGACUAAGUGGUAAACAAGCAGCCUCUUCACAAGCGAGGGUUUAAAAGGGCUGCUGGUUCGUUUGCAUGAUGUGUUUAUCUCGGUCUGGAGCCGUUUUUAAAGUGCCACAGAAGAGCUGCAGCCGUAAAGAGAGGCCUCUUCUUAGUCAUUAUUCCUGGAGCUGGAAGUGUGACGGCUUGUUGUCCUAUAUUUAACAUACAUUUUUAGCAUUCUUGAAAGGGCUUCGCUGGCGAUAACAACGUCUUUUAGCAUCGUGCACGAUUUGUCAUAUCGGAGUGUAGAAGUCAAAAUCAAGGGCUGGCAGACAUUCAGGAGUUUCAUGAUGCUAUAUGUGCUGGAAAUGAUAAUGCUAUGUUAGCUGUGUUUGGAAAAAAAACAAAACAAAACUGCAGUUCCUAGAGUGUCCACUUGAGGCUGGUUGCAAAAGCUCAGGAAGUCCCAUUAAAGUCCUGGUUGACGAUCUGAGAAGCAGAUCUGAGCCGUUGUGGCAGAUUUGAAAAAAGCGUCCCACCCCCACACACAAACCUCUCCCCGCCCGAUGUUUAUUCCAGUUAGAUUCCUCGCUUGGUCACAUUUCCUCUUCGACUCCGCCCUUUCUUCUGUCCGCUUGCGUUUUCUUUCCACUUUUGGCGGUGUUUUUUUUUUUUUUUUUGGCGUCCUUCUCCAUCACAGUUCCUGUAGCUAAGCUGCUACGCUACUUUUAGCCGCUCAGAGCUCCAAGGAGAGCCAGUAGAGUGGGAGGGGACGAGUCGGAACUACGGGAGAGAGGUGUGUCGAGUACAGUGAGGUGAUUGGAUAGAGAGGCGGCGCAGGAGAUUGACCAAUAAGAGCUGUCCAGGACGGAUGGCUCCCAUUGGUCAAUGUUUUUGAAGCCCUGCACCUGCUAGGGUGAACGGAUUUUUCUGUUCUUUUUUCUCUUCAUUUUGUGGAGAUCGCACUAUAGGACCAUGAUCGCCAUAGAAACAAGAUUGAUGAUAAUUACCAAUCUCUCCAAUCGUCAACCAUGUCUUUAACAGACAUGUUAAAAUACAGUGACCUUAUCCUGACUUCCAAAAAAGAAGCCACAAUUACGCGGGGGCAGAGUCACGGUGUCGCACAAAGUUAAUUUAGAGAGUUUUUCGGGUUGGAUUGGGGGUUUUUACGCGCUUCUAACUCAGUAAGUCCAUGUGACACAAAAUCAAAACUUCCGUACAAAACCACGGACAUUUGAGAGAUUCUAUAAACUUCCCCAGACAAAGCCAGACAAACACGGACAGCCCCCAUAAAAGAGGACGUAUGGUCCUCUUUGUCGUUAAAAUGACAGAUUUCACAUUUGAUAGCCUGGCUGAAAAUACCAUUUUGGUCUGGAUGGCUUAUGUUUCAUCAGUAAACACUGUAUGUUGUGUGUUUUAUUUGGGUUAUUGGCAAAGAGUCGUGCACUGAUUUGCAUAAUUAGGUUUGCAGUUAAUCGACACUUACUGUCAUUUAAUGUAAUGAGUAUUUUCUCAUAUAAUGACAUUACUUCAUUCAGAUUUGCCCUCAGUUGACUGGCUGCACCUCUUUGUCGAAGAAUGGGCUGAGUUAGCAUUCCCAACAAGGCGGCCACCAAUUUUGGGCUUCUUAACAUCUCUUCAGAAACCAGUAGAUGUUGUCGCUGAGACUACACCCGUGUUUUCUCAGGUGUAGGUCACAGUUAAGUCUUUUAUUAUUAAUUUGCUGUUUCUAGAAACAAUAUUUAUCCUUUUUAUUGUUUCUAUAACCUGAAGUCUGAAGAUGCUGCUGGUGUAUUCGUCUUUACCCAUCUCUUUAUCCCUCGAACCCCAGCAGGAUUGUAUCAGACAGCUACUCAGCAUCAGUUUGGCUCUGCUCCUGGUUUCAGCCAAUUACAGGACUACACUGUAACUCGCCAAACGCUGCAAAGUGCUUUGAGAUGAGAUAAAACUGAUUUUGUGCCUUUUAAAUAAUUUAACAAAGACUCUGCUCUUUUUCUUUGGCACUUUGAAACAACAUUUGUUUCUUAAUACGAUUGUUGGUCUUAAAAAUAGCUGCUUGAGGAGAUAUCAGAGGGACACCAAAGUUAGUCUGAUUUAUCAUCUUGGGGUCAUGAGUACUGGAGCAAAGCUUAACAGCAACUUAACUGUUUUCAUUGAUUUUAAAGUUAAAUAUGAAGGAAAACACAAGUUGGAACAAGCUCAUGUGGUCGUAUACAUGUUUAUAGUCAACAUCCAAGUCUUAAUCACCUCUGGGAAACGUUUCUGUAACCUCAACUCGAGUCUGAAAACCAAACAAACAUGAACUUUGUCGUCGAAUGUAAUUAAAAUAAGCUUUAUAGGGCCAAUUCACCGUAUGAUUGAUCCUCGUUUGGCCCACUUUACAUAUUUACAGCUGCCUUUUUUCCACAGAUGUCAUAAAUACUUGCAGGCUGUAAUCCCAGACAUCUUUCACCACCCAUUUUAUGUAAUUAAACAAGAACGCAGCAGCUUCAUGACAACAAAACUGCGACAAUUAUUUGUACAAUCAGGGUUCCUCUAGGCGUUAUGUAAUAAUCCUCUAUAUACAAUAGGUGGAUAUACAUCUAACUGGUUUGUUUUCUGUUCUCAGUCAUAUAGGAACAUUUCAGGAACAAAACAGGGCGGGCAAAUGGGAGGAUGUUCAUGUUUUUAGUUGGCAUUAUGCCGAAUGUGAGUGAAAAAAAAAAAAAACACCCUCACAGUGGAAUCGAGCGGCAGCUGUGGUUUCUGUGCGCCUGUGAGAGAGGGAAUACAGGGAACAGCAUGUACAGGACAGCGUAGAGCUUUACCAUCUCUAUAAGGGAGUGGGAAAACGAUACUGUAGGGAGGAGAGGAGGUCCUUCAGCUGUAGCGCCGUCCCACCACUGCCUCUUCCUCCGUUUCAUUCAUAAUUUACCGCCCCACUGUUCUGUCUGCAGUUGGGAUACAGGGAGGAAACAAGCCCAGGCAGAGCCCCCCUCCGCUCACUCGCACGCACACUCGCUCUUGUGACGUAAUGAACGACCUGGGACUCCCUGCUGCUCCCCCCUAGCUGCCCUAUUUUCUCGCUGCGGAGGAACUAAAUAGGUCUCCUCAUCACUUGUGCUGCAGUUUGGCAUGCGAAGCAUUCAGCGUCCUGGACUGCAGUGUUUGUUUACAACACCGUUAACCACAGCUGUGUGUCUGAGCGUUCACAACACACAGAAAAUUCAGAAUAUCUUCAGGAAAAACAUUCAAAUAUAUCUGUUUUAAUCUGGAUUAUAGCAACCUCGUCAGAUUACAAACCAGGGAGAUUAGCAGCAUAUUGAUCCUGUUGUUGAAUAUGUCGCUAUCGCCACACAGAUAUUCAAACAGCACCGCCGCCUCAGCCCAGACAAAGCUGUUCACUUCAAAGAGAAACAGACAUGUGUUAUACAUAUUUAAUGCACAGACAGUCUGAGACUUACGCAAACAUUACACAACUCUCAGUAAGAUAAUUCUGCUGCAGUGUGCUGAACACGCACAACGUAAUGAACGCCUAAAACAGAAGAAGUGCUUCACACCUGCUCUUUGUGUGUUUAAUUGGUCGCCACGCAAACUGGUGCUGAAUCAGCGUCAGCGGAGAUGGAAAUGAAAAGGGUUCAACGUGACCUGGCGCUUUCGAGUUGUUGGGGUUACUAUGGAGAUAAUAAGUUUGGUUCAAACACUUUCACUCUUAAGUACAACCCAGAGGAGCCUGAUUAAUGCAUAUACAGGAAAAUGUCCUCUGUGUGCUUUAACACAGGCUUGUUUCUUGAAAUGUAAGCGGUUCAAAAACAACAUGAAGCUCAUCAGAUAGACUGCUUUUUUAAAGGGCUACGGCUAUUUGUUAUCAAUUAAUGUAAUGGCUAUUUUCUUACAUAAUUGAAUUGAAUGUUUGGUCCAUGAAAAAACAAUAAAGUCACAACCUAAUUUAACUCUAAAACUAGUGGAAUUUUGCUACAAGAUCUUAAUAUUCAUCUUGGAAAUCAUGGACGUCGAUUCAUCUGCUCUGAAGAGGAUAUGGACAACUCAGAUUAUCAUUAGUUCACCACCAUCUGUGAUGGCCUUGGGAUGCAUUAGCGCCUAUACUAAUGCAUCCUUGAUAUACAUUAGUAUACCAGGGGAUGCAUUAGUAAGAAAUCCAAGCCUUUUACAUGGAUAUCUUACAAAUCUGGGAAGGCGACAUUAAUGCUGAAAAUUAUAAGUGCAGGUUUCUUUCUGGGGGGAAUCUCAGGUUUUGUUUUUCCACAGGUACUGAUUCGGGACUGAUCUGCUUGUUUUUAGGUCACAGAUUAAAUCCAUCAUAUUUGAUAGUAUGGGGGUUUCAUAAGCGGUAAUUGUAUGAGUAGCAUACACACCAUUAAUGCUGUUUUAGACCAACAUAUGCUGUCAUCCUUCUCCAGGGGCGACCAACAAGAUGACAUAUUCUUCAACAUCAUGGCUCAGAAGUCGAAGAGUCCUGAUACUGAACAUCAAACAUCAAGAUUCGAAUUUGCAAACCAUCAACUCCUUCUCUUUUAACAUGUCAUAUUUUAUGGGGUUGUAAUCGAACAGUUUAUUAGUUUGAAAUAAUACUUUUAAAAGUAGAAAUGUGGUUUUGGGAUUUCAGCUAAAAAACAAGAUCAAAAAGCCUCCUCCGUCUCCUUAAGAAGAGCCGGAGGAUUGAAGAUAGUAAGAAGCUGAGCAGCAUUUAGAAAGUGACUCACUGUUGGUUUAAGUGGGUGUGAAACCGACUGUACGCCUACAGAUGUACAUUUGGCAAAGGGGGCCGCCUUAUAAAUCCCAAACUGUGUAUUGUUGUCAGUUACAGUUUAUUGAUGAUUCAUUUCAGUCUAAAUAAAUCUGUUCAUGUCACAGAAUCAGUCUCCUCGUGUCCAGGCAAGAUGUCACGCUUCAAAAAGCAAACAACACAUACGAGCCGCCCACUUGUGUUAUAUAAUAAAAAAGCCGUUUUUUACUGAACAUGUCAUGAGAUAUAGUCUAAAUCUGUACUGUUAUCUGCGAGGAAUACCAAGACACAAGCAUGUGUGUCUGUGUUUGUUUGCGUUGCUCAGGUGCAAAGCUGGGUGGGGCUCUCUUACAGGCGUGUUUGUCGGUUAAAGGUUUCCUUUAUUACGUCUAUUUCUGGCCUAGGCUAUUUACUGGAGACCUUUCAGCUACGUCACGCGUCUCUGAGACUCGUAUCCCGACGCUAAGUCACGCUCACUCUGCGGGCUAUUUCAUGCCUGUGCAAAUCAAAACAUUCCUCAGAUUAGCACCUGACCACACCCCGAAGUUGUCAUAACUUCACCUGGUUUCUGUGUGGAGUCCGAGCCAAGAGAGGAGCCCAACCUGUGGAAAGUAAACACAAAAACGCCCUGGAGACCCACCCUGUGAAAGUUUGGAGAAGAAAAGAUUUAAGGAAGGAUUUAGUCACCAGUGAAUCAUGGUUAUUGUAUAUUCGAGCAGCAUGAGAAGGAGGCGGGAUGUUUACAGCUUGAGAGUUUUGGCUGUAAACUAGCGUGAGUGUGAUUAUGCUGUUUAGUCUAACGAGAACCAAUGGGAGCAAUUAAAGUCCUGCAGAGUCACAUUGGUCUCCCAUGUGUCUAAAUCUGCCUUCAGAGGGAUUCCCCUUCCUUACUUCUUUUUACUUAACACUUAUUCCCCCUGCUGUGACUGACGUGGAUCUGUCUCAUAAAUCAGGAUUACCUCUUUGAGAGACAGGUUGUAGUCUGAUUCCCUCCACAGAGGCAGUAAUGACUUAGCGAGUACACUUCUUUCUUUCCCAGGAGGUAAAUUCUUUCGUCUCAGGGUGAUUGAGCUGUCGCCCAAAGGGGAACCAGUGGAGCACCGAGCUCCUUAAAAACGCAGCAGAACAAUUAUGGGUAGCUUCAGGAGCAGGUUUCUAAAGGCACAUCUCAGACUGAGUUCAACCCCUAUGAAAGUAAAUCCUGUAUUCCUUAUAGUUAUCUAGUUUGAUGUCAUGAUAAUGUAAAAGAAAAGGACAUUCAGAUCUGAAACCUGAGGAAAUUUGCUGAUAAAUGUCGAUAUUUUCCUUCUCGAGGGUCAUUUUUCCUAACCCCAAGCCUUUCAUUUUUCUUUUCUGUUCUUAGGAAACUCAUCCCACCCUCUCUCGUGUGUGAUUCAUCAGCUAACAUCACAGAGAUUCGUAAUCAUUGCUCAGCUGAUCAUGUCCGCACACGGCUUAGGCCGAGUGCUCGCUCACUCCCCCUCACCAACUGCCAGGUGAGAGUAAAGGGAAGACAUGGGUUUUAGAGUCCAAAAUAAGCAACAAACAUACAAUUAACUAUUCACAAAUAUUAAAAAA
rnacentral:lncRNA from 1 species